AUACGUAGGGUGCAAGCGUUAAUCGGAAUUACUGGGCGUAAAGCGUGCGCAGGCGGUUUUGUAAGACAGUGGUGAAAUCCCCGGGCUCAACCUGGGAACUGCCAUUGUGACUGCAAGGCUGGAGUGCGGCAGAGGGGGAUGGAAUUCCGCGUGUAGCAGUGAAAUGCGUAGAUAUGCGGGGGAACACCGAUGGCGAAGGCCAUCCCCUGGGCCAUCACUGACGCUCAUGCACCAAAGCGUGGGGAGCAAACAGGAUUAGAUACCCUGGUAGUCCACGCCCUAAACGAUGUCAACGGGUUGUUGGGGAUUUAUUUUCUCAGUAACGAAGCUAACGCGUGAAGUUGACCGCCUGGGGAGUACGGCCGCAAGGUUAAAACUCAAAGGAAUUGACGGGG
rnacentral:rRNA from 1 species